rnacentral:rRNA from 1 species
GAGCGAACGGACGAGAAGCUUGCUUCUCUGAUGUUAGCGGCGGACGGGUGAGUAACACGUGGAUAACCUACCUAUAAGACUGGGAUAACUUCGGGAAACCGGAGCUAAUACCGGAUAAUAUUUUGAACCGCAUGGUUCAAAAGUGAAAGACGGUCUUGCUGUCACUUAUAGAUGGAUCCGCGCUGCAUUAGCUAGUUGGUAAGGUAACGGCUUACCAAGGCAACGAUGCAUAGCCGACCUGAGAGGGUGAUCGGCCACACUGGAACUGAGACACGGUCCAGACUCCUACGGGAGGCAGCAGUAGGGAAUCUUCCGCAAUGGGCGAAAGCCUGACGGAGCAACGCCGCGUGAGUGAUGAAGGUCUUCGGAUCGUAAAACUCUGUUAUUAGGGAAGAACAUAUGUGUAAGUAACUGUGCACAUCUUGACGGUACCUAAUCAGAAAGCCACGGCUAACUACGUGCCAGCAGCCGCGGUAAUACGUAGGUGGCAAGCGUUAUCCGGAAUUAUUGGGCGUAAAGCGCGCGUAGGCGGUUUUUUAAGUCUGAUGUGAAAGCCCACGGCUCAACCGUGGAGGGUCAUUGGAAACUGGAAAACUUGAGUGCAGAAGAGGAAAGUGGAAUUCCAUGUGUAGCGGUGAAAUGCGCAGAGAUAUGGAGGAACACCAGUGGCGAAGGCGACUUUCUGGUCUGUAACUGACGCUGAUGUGCGAAAGC